AUUGAACGCUGGCGGCAUGCUUUACACAUGCAAGUCGAACGGCAGCGCGGGCUUCGGCCUGGCGGCGAGUGGCGAACGGGUGAGUAAUACAUCGGAACGUGCCCAGUAGUGGGGGAUAGCCCGGCGAAAGCCGGAUUAAUACCGCAUACGACCUGAGGGUGAAAGCGGGGGAUCUUCGGACCUCGCGCUAUUGGAGCGGCCGAUGGCAGAUUAGCUAGUUGGUGGGGUAAAGGCCUACCAAGGCGACGAUCUGUAGCUGGUCUGAGAGGACGACCAGCCACACGGGGACUGAGCCACGGCCCAGACUCCUACGGGAGGCAGCAGUGGGGAAUUUUGGACAAUGGGCGAAAGCCUGAUCCAGCAAUGCCGCGUGUGUGAUGAAGGCCUUCGGGUUGUAAAGCACUUUUGGCGGGAACGAAAAGGACUGUGCCAAUACCACGGUUCGAUGACGGUACCCGCAGAAUAAGCACCGGCUAACUACGUG
rnacentral:rRNA from 1 species